rnacentral:rRNA from 1 species
UGACAAGUCUGGAUUCCUUGGCUCCAGAUUGACGCGUGGCGGCAGCCUUAACACCAUGCAAGUCGAGCGGUAGCACAGGGAGCUUGCUCUCGGGUGACGAGCGGCGGACGGGUGAGUAAUGUCUGGGAAACUGCCUGAUGGAGGGGGAUAAUACUGGAAACGGUAGCUAAUACCGCAUAACGUCGCAAGACCAAAGUGGGGGACCUUCGGGCCUCUGCCAUCUGAUGUGCCAAAUGGGAUUAGCUAGUAGGUGGGGUAACGGCUCAACAAGCAACAAUCCUAGUUAUUUAGAGUCGAUUURYMAGCSMGAACUGRRYYSRACSRRKYAGRMYSSUAGKGWGGGGAAGCUUGGAUAUCGGCGCAAGCCUAUUGCAGAGAGAGCGAACGGUAAAAAAGAGUUGGGGUUGUUAAAGUCGCAAGUCCAAAGCGGGGAAGUUUCGGGGGUGACGGUUAUUAAACGUGACCUGAUUGAGAUUUACCAGCAGGAAGAAAGAACGGGUAACUUAGGCGACAACAGCCGAGGUAAUACGAGAGGAUGACAAGCGUUAAUGGAAAUGAACCGGGCGUAAAGCGUACGGAGGCGGUUGGGGAAGUCGGAUAUGAAACCCACCGGGUUCAACCUGGGAAGGGGAUUAAAAACUGGCAGGCUAAAGUCUUGUAGAGGAGGGAGAGAAGGGUUAAAUGCAGCGGUGAAAUGCGUAGAGACCCGAAAAAAUACCGGUAGCGAAGGCGGCCCCCUGGACAAUGUCGGAUGCUCAGGUGCGAAAGCGUGGGGAAACCAAACAGGAUCAGUUCCCUUGUCGUUCCUCGCUCUAAACAAUUCGAAUUUCGAGUUUGUGCCCUUUGACCGUGGCUUCCGGAGCUAACGCGUUAAAUCGACCGCCUGGUGAGUACGGCCGCAAGGUUAAACUCAAUGAAUUGACGGGGGCCCGCAAAGCGGUGGAGCAUGUGGUUUAAUUCGAUGCAACGCGAAAACCUUACCUGGUCUUGAAUCUAUUUCCUUUCAAAGUGGAUUGUGCCUUCGGGAACUGUGAGACAGGUGCUGCAUGGCCAUGGUCAGCUUCAGUUCGGAAAUGGUAAGGUAAGUCUAGCUACGAGCGCGACCCCUACCCUUAGUUGCCAUCGCCCGGGCCGGGACCUCAAAGGAGAAUGCGAGUGAUAAAGUUGAGGAAGGUGGGGAUGGGGACAAGUCAUAAUGGCCAUGGCCACCAGGGCCACGCACGCGCUCCAAUGGCAUAGGCAAAGAGAAGGGGCCUCGCGAGAGCAAGCGCACCUCAUCAUGUUUGUCGUAGUCCGGAUCGGAGUCUGCAUCUGGACUCCAUGAAGUCGGAAUCGGUAGUAAUAGUAGAUCAGAAUGAUACGGUGAAUACGUUCCCGGGCCUUGUACACACCCCCCGUCACACCAUGGGAGUGGGUGCAAAAGAAGUAGGUAGCUUAACGUUCGGGAGGGCGCUACCACUAUUG